rnacentral:rRNA from 1 species
ACUCCUACGGGAGGCAGCAGUGGGGAAUAUUGGACAAUGGGGGCGAACCCUGAUCCAGCCAUGCCGCGUGAGUGAUGAAGGCCUUAGGUUGUAAAGCUCUUUCAGCGAGGAGGAUAAUGACGUUACUCGCAGAAGAAGCCCCGGCUAACUUCGUGCCAGCAGCCGCGGUAAUACGAAGGGGGCUAGCGUUGUUUCGGAAUCACUGGGCGUAAAGCGCACGUAGGCGGAUUGAUAAGUUAGGGGUGAAAUCCCGGGCUCAACCUCGGAACUGCCUUUGAUACUGUCAGUCUUGAGUCCGAGAGAGGUGAGUGGAACUCCGAGUGUAGAGGUG